rnacentral:rRNA from 1 species
ACACAUGCAAGUCGAGGGGAAACGACAUCGAAAGCUUGCUUUUGAUGGGCGUCGACCGGCGCACGGGUGAGUAACGCGUAUCCAACCUGCCCAUCACUUGGGGAUAACCUUGCGAAAGUAAGACUAAUACCCAAUGAUAUCUCUAGAAGACAUCUGAAAGGGAUUAAAGAUUUAUCGGUGAUGGAUGGGGAUGCGUCUGAUUAGCUUGUUGGCGGGGUAACGGCCCACCAAGGCGACGAUCAGUAGGGGUUCUGAGAGGAAGGUCCCCCACAUUGGAACUGAGACACGGUCCAAACUCCUACGGGAGGCAGCAGUGAGGAAUAUUGGUCAAUGGACGAGAGUCUGAACCAGCCAAGUAGCGUGCAGGAUGACGGCCCUAUGGGUUGUAAACUGCUUUUAUAAGGGAAUAAAGUGAGUCUCGUGAGGCUUUUUGCAUGUACCUUAUGAAUAAGGACCGGCUAAUUCCGUGCCAGCAGCCGCGGUAAUACGGAAGGUCCGGGCGUUAUCCGGAUUUAUUGGGUUUAAAGGGAGCGUAGGCCGGAGAUUAAGCGUGUUGUGAAAUGUAGACGCUCAACGUCUGCACUGCAGCGCGAACUGGUUUCCUUGAGUACGCACAAAGUGGGCGGAAUUCGUGGUGUAGCGGUGAAAUGCUUAGAUAUCACGAAGAACUCCGAUUGCGAAGGCAGCUCACUGGAGCGCAACUGACGCUGAAGCUCGAAAGUGCGGGUAUCGAACAGGAUUAGAUACCCUGGUAGUCCGCACGGUAAACGAUGGAUGCCCGCUGUUGGUCUGAAUAGGUCAGCGGCCAAGCGAAAGCAUUAAGCAUCCCACCUGGGGAGUACGCCG